rnacentral:rRNA from 1 species
AGCAGCCGCGGUAAUUCCAGCUCCAAUAGCGUAUAUUAAAGUUGUUGCAGUUAAAAAGCUCGUAGUUGAAUUUCGGGAUUAGUGCGCUGGUCAUGCCUUUGGUAUGUACUGGUGUUACUGGUUCCUACCUUCUGAAGAACCGUUAUGUCAUUCAUUUGGUGUGGCGGGGAAUCAGGACUGUUACUUUGAAAAAAUUAGAGUGUUUAAAGCAGGCUCGCGCUUGAAUACAUUAGCAUGGAAUAAUGAAAUAGGACGUUUGACCCUAUUUUGUUGGUUUCUAGGAUCGACGUAAUGAUUAAUAGGGAUAGUUGGGGGCAUUAGUAUUCAAUUGUCAGAGGUGAAAUUCUUGGAUUUAUUGAAGACUAACUACUGCGAAAGCAUUUGCCAAGGAUGUUUUCAUUAAUCAAGAACGAAAGUUAGGGGAUCGAAGACGAUCAGAUACCGUCGUAGUCUUAACCAUAAACUAUGCCGACUAGGGAUCGGAUGAUGUUAUUUUAAUGACUCAUUCGGCGCCUUAACC